GACGAACGCUGGCGGCGUGCUUAACACAUGCAAGUCGAGCGGAAAGGCCACUUCGGUGGUACUCGAGCGGCGAACGGGUGAGUAACACGUGAGUAAUCUGCCCUUCACUCUGGGAUAGCCACCGGAAACGGUGAUUAAUACCGGAUACGAACACUCCACGCAUGUGGUGGUGGUGGAAACUUUUUUGGGUGGGGGAUGUGCUCGCGGCCUAUCAGCUUGUUGGUGGGGUAAUGGCCUACCAAGGCUUCGACGGGUAGCCGGCCUGAGAGGGUGACCGGCCACACUGGGACUGAGACACGGCCCAGACUCCUACGGGAGGCAGCAGUGGGGAAUAUUGGACAAUGGGCGGAAGCCUGAUCCAGCAACGCCGCGUGAGGGAUGACGGCCUUCGGGUUGUAAACCUCUUUCAGCACCGACGAAGCGCAAGUGACGGUAGGUGCAGAAGAAGGACCGGCCAACUACGUGCCAGCAGCCGCGGUAAGAC
rnacentral:rRNA from 1 species